UUAAGGUUGUGUUCCUGCAGUUGUGUUACCGUUUUCUGCAGCUGGUUCAAACAACUUAUGCAAUGUUAUAGAUGACCAUCUCCAGUGACCUGGAGGUUGACUGUGCGUGUUCCUGUACAGCUGGGAAAGGGACAUGCAAUCAUAGUGUAGCAUUGCUGUACCAGCUGGCACAUUUCCAGAACCUUGGAUUAGAACGUGUUCCCCCCAUAGCAUCCAAGACGUCAGCACCACAGCAGUGGCACAUCCCUCCCCGCACACGAGGUGUGAAGCCCGCUGCCAUCUCAAAGAUGAGACUCGUAA